UACGUAGGGUGCGAGCGUUAAUCGGAAUUACUGGGCGUAAAGCGUGCGCAGGCGGUUUUGUAAGCCAGGUGUGAAAUCCCCGGGCUCAACCUGGGAAUGGCAUUUGGGACUGCAAGGCUGGAGUGUGGCAGAGGAGACUGGAAUUCCUGGUGUAGCAGUGAAAUGCGUAGAUAUCAGGAGGAACACCUGCGGUGUAGACGGCUUUCUGGACCAUAACUGACGCUGAGAUACGAAAGCGUGGGUAGCAAACAGG
rnacentral:rRNA from 1 species